rnacentral:rRNA from 1 species
GAUGAACGCUGGCGGCGUGCCUAAUACAUGCAAGUCGAGCGAACAGAUGAGGAGCUUGCUCCUCUGGCGUUAGCGGCGGACGGGUGAGUAACACGUGGAUAACCUACCUAUAAGACUGGGAUAACUUCGGGAAACCGGAGCUAAUACCGGAUAAUAUAUUGAACCGCAUGGUUCAAUAGUGAAAGACGGUUUUGCUGUCACUUAUAGAUGGAUCCGCGCCGCAUUAGCUAGUUGGUAAGGUAACGGCUUACCAAGGCAACGAUGCGUAGCCGACCUGAGAGGGUGAUCGGCCACACUGGAACUGAGACACGGUCCAGACUCCUACGGGAGGCAGCAGUAGGGAAUCUUCCGCAAUGGGCGAAAGCCUGACGGAGCAGCGCCGCGUGAGUGAUGAAGGUCUUCGGAUCGUAAAACUCUGUUAUUAGGGAAGAACAAAUGUGUAAGUAACUAUGCACGUCUUGACGGUACCUAAUCAGAAAGCCACGGCUAACUACGUG